AUACGUAGGUGGCGAGCGUUAUCCGGAUUUACUGGGUGUAAAGGGUGUGUAGGCGGGAUCGCAAGUCAGAUGUGAAAAUCAUGGGCUUAACCCAUGACUUGCAUUUGAAACUGUGAUUCUUGAGUGUCGGAGAGGUAAAUGGAAUUCCCGGUGUAGCAGUGAAAUGCGUAGAUAUCGGGAGGAACACCAGUGGCGAAGGCGGUUUACUGGACGACAACUGACGCUGAGACACGAAAGCGUGGGGAGC
rnacentral:rRNA from 1 species